AUUGAACGCUGGCGGCAGGCCUAACACAUGCAAGUCGAGCGGAUGAGGAGAGCUUGCUCUCUGAUUUAGCGGCGGACGGGUGAGUAAUGCCUAGGAAUCUGCCUGGUAGUGGGGGAUAACGUCCGGAAACGGGCGCUAAUACCGCAUACGUCCUACGGGAGAAAGCAGGGGACCUUCGGGCCUUGCGCUAUCAGAUGAGCCUAGGUCGGAUUAGCUAGUUGGUGAGGUAAUGGCUCACCAAGGCUACGAUCCGUAACUGGUCUGAGAGGAUGAUCAGUCACACUGGAACUGGGACACGGUCCAGACUCCUACGGGAGGCAGCAGUGGGGAAUAUUGGACAAUGGGCGAAAGCCUGAUCCAGCCAUGCCGCGUGUGUGAAGAAGGUCUUCGGAUUGUAAAGCACUUUAAGUUGGGAGGAAGGGUACUUACCUAAUACGUGAGUAUUUUGACGUUACCGACAGAAUAAGCACCGGCUAACUCUGUGCCAGCCGCCGCCGUAACAC
rnacentral:rRNA from 1 species